ensembl:misc_RNA Metazoa_SRP Metazoan signal recognition particle RNA
GCCAGGUGUAGUGGUGUACACCUAUAAUCCUAGCUAUUCAGGAGGCUGAGGCAGAAGGAUUGUUUGAGCCUAGGAGCUGGAGGUUGCAGUGAGCUAUGAUCAUACCACUGUACUCUCCAGCCUGAGUGACAGAGCAAGACCCUGUCUCUU